rnacentral:rRNA from 1 species
GUGGGGAAUAUUGCACAAUGGGGGGAACCCUGAUGCAGCAACGCCGCGUGGGUGAAGAAGUAUUUCGGUAUGUAAAGCCCUAUCAGCAGGGAAGAAAAUGACGGUACCUGACUAAGAAGCCCCGGCUAAAUACGUGCCAGCAGCCGCGGUAAUACGUAUGGGGCAAGCGUUAUCCGGAUUUACUGGGUGUAAAGGGAGCGCAGGCGGCGCGGCAAGUCAGAUGUGAAAGCCCGGGGCUCAACCCCGGGACUGCAUUUGAAACUGCCGAGCUGGAGUGUCGGAGAGGCAAGUGGAAUUCCUAGUGUAGCGGUGAAAUGCGUAGAUAUUAGGAGGAACACCAGUGGCGAAGGCGGCUUGCUGGACGAUAACUGACGCUGAGGCUCGAAAGCGUGGGGAGCAAACAGGA